AACGAACGCUGGCGGCAUGCCUAACACAUGCAAGUCGAACGAGACCUUCGGGUCUAGUGGCGCACGGGUGCGUAACGCGUGGGAACCUGCCCUUAGGUUCGGAAUAACUCCCCGAAAGGGGUGCUAAUACCGGAUAAUGUCUUCGGACCAAAGAUUUAUCGCCUUUGGAUGGGCCCGCGUUGGAUUAGCUAGUUGGUAGGGUAAAAGCCUACCAAGGCGACGAUCCAUAGCUGGUCUGAGAGGAUGAUCAGCCACACUGGGACUGAGACACGGCCCAGACUCCUACGGGAGGCAGCAGUGGGGAAUAUUGGACAAUGGGCGAAAGCCUGAUCCAGCAAUGCCGCGUGAGUGAUGAAGGCCUUAGAGUUGUAAAGCUCUUUUACCCGGGAUGAUAAUGACAGUACCGGGAGAAUAAGCUCCGGCUAACUCUGUG
rnacentral:rRNA from 1 species